rnacentral:rRNA from 1 species
AACGAACGCUGGCGGCAGGCUUAACACAUGCAAGUCGAGCGAGACCUUCGGGUCUAGCGGCGGACGGGUGAGUAACGCGUGGGAACGUGCCCUUCUCUACGGAAUAGCCCCGGGAAACUGGGAGUAAUACCGUAUACGCCCUCUGGGGGAAAGAUUUAUCGGAGAAGGAUCGGCCCGCGUUGGAUUAGGUAGUUGGUGGGGUAAUGGCCCCCCAAGUCGACGAUCCAUAGCUGGUUUGAGAGGAUGAUCAGCCACACUGGGACUGGGACACGGCCCAGACUCCUACGGGAGGCAGCAGUGGGGAAUCUUAGACAAUGGGGGCAACCCUGAUCUAGCCAUGCCGCGUGAGUGAUGAAGGCCUUAGGGUUGUAAAGCUCUUUCAGCUGGGAAGAUAAUGACGGUACCAGCAGAAGAAGCCCCGGCUAACUCCGUG